rnacentral:rRNA from 1 species
UACAGAGGAUGCAAGCGUUAUCCGGAAUUAUUGGGCGUAAAGCGUCUGUAGGUGGCUUUUUAAGUCCGCCGUCAAAUCCCAGGGCUCAACUCUGGACAGGCGGUGGAAACUAGCAAGCUGGAGUACGGUAGGGGCAGAGGGAAUUUCCGGUGGAGCGGUGAAAUGCGUAGAGAUCGGGAAGAACACCAACGGCGAAAGCACUCUGCUGGGCCGACACUGACGCUGAGGGACGAAAGCUAGGGGAGCGAAUGGG